CAAGAGAAAAUUGGUGGAUUUUAAGUAAUCAAGCAAUCAAAGGUAGUGAGUACUCCGAUAUAGGCAAAGAAAUUGUACCCGAGGAUCGAUAGUCGAAGUACUCUAAAAAUUCGACUCCCGAAAUAUGGGCGAGUUUUGUGGACCAGCCUAUUAGAGGGGCACGAAAUCCGAUUAUAUACGUACCUCGGUCAGAGAGGCGCGUAGGGUAUCUCCUGAGGUAUGGUUAGAUUUCACGUCACGCCGAACCACCUCGUGAUGAUGAACUCUGCUAACGCCAACGAACGACUGUCUUUUUCAAACUAAAAAUAUGUUUACGUGUAUACGAAAUUUUUAAGAGCCUUGGCAGACUCGGUUAAAUGCCUCGGC
rnacentral:sRNA from 1 species